ACGGGGUGCAGCAGGCGCGAAAACUUUGCAAUACACGAAAGUGUGACAGGGCUAUCCCGAGUGCCAUCCGCUGAGGAAGGCUUUUACUCAGUUUAGAACGCUGGGAGAAUAAGGAGAGGGCAAGACUGGUGUCAGCCGCCGCGGUAAUACCAGCUCUCCGAGUGGUGUGGAUGUUUAUUGGGCCUAAAGCAUCCGUAGCUGGCUGGGCAAGUCCCCUGUUAAAUCCACCGAUUUAAUCGUUGGAGUGCGGGGGAUACUGCUCGGCUAGGGGACGGGAGAGGCAGACGGUAUUUUCGGGGUAGGGGUGAAAUCCUAUAAUCCCGGGAAGACCACCAGUGGCGAAGGCUGUCUGCUAGAACGUGCCCGACGGUGAGGGAUGAAAGCUGGGGGAGCGAACCGGAUUAGAUACCCGGGUAGUCCCAGCUGUAAACGAUGCAGGCUAGGUGUUUGGGCGGCCACGUGCCGCUCUAGUGCCGCAGGGAAGCCGUUAAGCCUGCCGCCUGGGGAGUACGGCCGCAAGGCUGAAACUUAAAGGAAUUGGCGGGGGAGCA
rnacentral:rRNA from 1 species